rnacentral:misc_RNA from 1 species
AACGCACAUUGCGCCUACUGGCAUUCCGGUAGGCAUACCUGUUUGAGCGUCAGCAAAACACACCUCGGUCUAUCUUCUCAGAUUGUUACCGGUUAUGGGCCCGGAGGAAGGGAGUACCCAAUCCCUCCGGCUUUAAAACUGCUGCGCGACCGCGAGCCACUUCCGGCAAGGUUUAUGGAUUGGUGUUUUCAUAUCUUCCGUGACCUUCGGGGUACGGCUUCCGCGGCGUUAAACGUUCGGUUACCCCCUGCGGGCAACUGUAGUUUGACCUCAGAUCAGGUAAGGAUACCCGCUGAACUUAA